rnacentral:rRNA from 1 species
GGAGUUAGCCGGUGCUUCUUCUGCGAGUAACGUCACAGAUGUAAGGUAUUAACUUACACCCUUUCCUCCUCGCUGAAAGUGCUUUACAACCCGAAGGCCUUCUUCACACACGCGGCAUGGCUGCAUCAGGGUUUCCCCCAUUGUGCAAUAUUCCCCACUGCUGCCUCCCGUAGGAGUCUGGGCCGUGUCUCAGUCCCAGUGUGGCUGAUCAUCCUCUCAGACCAGCUAGGGAUCGUCGCCUAGGUGAGCCUUUACCUCACCUACUAGCUAAUCCCACCUGGGCUUAUCCAUCAGCGCAAGGCCCGAAGGUCCCCUGCUUUCCCCCGUAGGGCGUAUGCGGUAUUAGCAGUCGUUUCCAACUGUUAUCCCCCACAAAUGGGCAAAUUCCCAGGCAUUACUCACCCGUCCGCCGCUCGUCAUCUUCAAAAGCAAGCUUUUGAAAUGUUACCGCUCGACUUGCAUGUGUUAGCUGCCGCCAGCGUACAUCUGAGCGAGGAUACAACUACUGA